AAGAGGGUGCACGACGCUGGCGGCAGGCUCAACACGUGUCAGUCGAACGCUCUCUUCGACAGGGAGUGGCGCACGGGUGAGUAACGCUGGGAACCUAGCUCUUGGUACGGAACAACCGCGGGAAACUGCGGCUAAUACCGUAUAUGCCCCCCAUGAGAGAUUGUGGGGGGGAAAGAUUUAUCGCCGAGAGAUGGGCCCGCGUCUGAUUAGCUGGUUGGUGAGGUAACGGCUCACCAAAGCAUCGAUCAGUAGCUGGUCUGAGAGGAUGAUCAGCCACACUGGGACUGAGACACGGCCCAGAAUCCUACGGGAGGCAGCAAGUGGGGAAUAUUGGACAAUGGGCGCAAGCCUGAUCCAGCCAUGCCGAGUGAGUGAAGAAGGCCCUAGGGUUGUAAAGCUCUUUCAACGGUGACGAUGAUGACCGGUAGCCGUAGAAGACACCCCGGAUAACUUCCGUGACAAGCAGCCGCGGUAAUACGGAAGUCGGGGGCAACGUUGUUCGGGAAUUAUUGGGCGUAAAGGGCAGCGUACGCGGCCGGUGCCGUAGGUGUAAAAACCUGGGAUCAACCAGGGGGUGCACUGAUACGAGGAAACUUGAAUCCGAGAGAGGGAUGGGUGGAAUUCCCAGUGUUAAUGUGAAAUUCGAAAAAUAGGGAAAACACGAAAGGAAGGAACAUCUGGUCGAUUUG
rnacentral:rRNA from 1 species